UACGUAGGGGGCUAGCGUUGUCCGGAUUUAUUGGGCGUAAAGAGCGUGUAGGCGGCCAGGUAGGUCUGCUGUGAAAACUCGAGGCUCAACCUCGAGAUGUCGGCGGAAACCAUCUGGCUAGAGUCCGGAAGAGGAAAGUGGAAUUCCUGGUGUAGCGGUGAAAUGCGCAGAUAUCAGGAAGAACACCCGUGGCUAAGGCGGUUCUCUAGUACGGUACUGACGCUGAGACGCGAAAGCGUGGGGAGCGAACAGG
rnacentral:rRNA from 1 species